GACGAACGCUGGCGGCGUGCCUAAUACAUGCAAGUAGAACGAGUGGCGGACGGGUGAGUAAUGUCUGGGAAACUGCCUGAUGGAGGGGGAUAACUACUGGAAACGGUAGCUAAUACCGCAUACCCUCAGAUGUGCCCAGAUGUGAUUAGCUUGUAGGUGGGGUAACGGCUCACCUGGGCGACGAUCCCUAGCUGGUCUGAGCGGAUGACCAGCCACACUGGAACUGCGACACGGUCAAGACUCCUACGGGAGGCAGCAGAGGGGAAUAUUGCACAAUGGGCGCAAUCCUGAUGCAGCCAUGCCGCGUGUGGGAAGAAGGCCUUCGGGUUUUAAAGCACUUUCAGCGGGGAGGCGUUACCCGCAGAAGAAGCACCGGCUAACUCCGUGCCAGCAGCCGCGGUAAUUC
rnacentral:rRNA from 1 species